rnacentral:misc_RNA from 1 species
GAAAUGCGAUAAGUAAUGUGAAUUGCAGAAUUCAGUGAAUCAUCGAAUCUUUGAACGCACAUUGCGCUCGCCAGUAUUCUGGCGAGCAUGCCUGUUCGAGCGUCUUUUCAACCAUCAAGCUCUGCUUGCGUUGGGGAUCCGCGGCUGCCCGCGGUCCCUCAAAAACAGUGGCGGGCUCGCUAGUCACACCGAGCGUAGUAACUCUACAUCGCUAUGGUCGUGCGGCGGGUUCUUGCCGUAAAACCCCCAAUUUCUAAGGUUGACCUCGGAUCAGGUAGGAAUACCCGCUGAACUUAAGC